AUGAUAACCGGACACUCACCGUUCCGAACAACAUCACUGCCUCGUUCACAGUUCAUGUCUCCAAUCUAGUCAGUGCGGACAGUAAAAAUAUUACUCUCAUAAACGAUCUCAAUGGAAAAUCCAAUCCUUUGGGGGUCGUCAUGUACCCGAACAUUACCAAAGUGAUAUGGGCCGAAGGCGGAGGCCGGCCCAGCAAUCAGACACUCAUUCUCUCGAGGAAGGUCGCCAACCUCUAUGUCCUGACCCCGUCAGCUGUUCAGGUAAGGUACAUCCAGAACACACUUGUAAGGGGUUGUCUGGUCAACUGUAUGGACGCUAUAAGCCGAGCCAAACAAAAACACU